rnacentral:rRNA from 1 species
GAUCAUGGCUCAGAUUGAACGCUGGCGGAAUGCUUUACACAUGCAAGUCGAACGGUAGAGGGGGCAACCCUUGAGAGUGGCGAACGGGUGAGUAAUAUAUCGGAACGUGCCCAGUCGUGGGGGAUAACGUAGCGAAAGUUACGCUAAUACCGCAUACGAUCUACGGAUGAAAGCGGGGGACUCGCAAGAGCCUCGCGCGAUUGGAGCGGCCGAUAUCAGAUUAGGUAGUUGGUGAGGUAAAGGCUCACCAAGCCGACGAUCUGUAGCUGGUCUGAGAGGACGACCAGCCACACUGGGACUGAGACACGGCCCAGACUCCUACGGGAGGCAGCAGUGGGGAAUUUUGGACAAUGGGCGCAAGCCUGAUCCAGCAAUGCCGCGUGCAGGAUGAAGGCCUUCGGGUUGUAAACUGCUUUUGUACGGAACGAAAAGGUUUCUCUUAAUACGAGGAGCUCAUGACGGUACCGUAAGAAUAAGCACCGGCUAACUACGUG